UGAGGAACAUGACCUUCGGCGGGGGAUAGCCGGCCCAACGGCCGGGUAAUACCGCGUACGACCAUUUGGGGACAUCCCCGGAUGGUGAAAGCAGCAAUGCGCCGAUGAAGUGCCUCGCGGCCUAUCAGCUUGUUGGUGAGGUAACGGCCCACCAAGGCGACGACGGGUAGCCGGCCUGAGAGGGCGACCGGCCACACUGGGACUGAGACACGGCCCAGACUCCUACGGGAGGCAG
rnacentral:rRNA from 1 species